ACGGGUGAGUAACACGUGGGCAACCUGCCCUUGAGACUGGGAUAACUUCGGGAAACCGGAGCUAAUACCGGAUAAUAUAAGGAACCUCCUGGUUCCUUGUUGAAAGAUGGUUUCGGCUAUCACUUAAGGAUGGGCCCGCGGCGCAUUAGCUAGUUGGUGAGGUAACGGCUCACCAAGGCGACGAUGCGUAGCCGACCUGAGAGGGUGAUCGGCCACACUGGGACUGAGACACGGCCCAGACUCCUACGGGAGGCAGCAGUAGGGAAUCUUCCACAAUGGACGAAAGUCUGAUGGAGCAACGCCGCGUGAGUGAUGAAGGCCUUCGGGUCGUAAAGCUCUGUUGUUAGGGAAGAACAAGUGCGAGAGUAGCUGCUCGUACCUUGACGGUACCUAACCAGAAAGCCACGGCUAACUACGUGCCAGCAGCCGCGGUAAUACGUAGGUGGCAAGCGUUAUCCGGAAUUAUUGGGCGUAAAGCGCGCGCAGGUGGUUUCUUAAGUCUGAUGUGAAAGCCCACGGCUCAACCGUGGAGGGUCAUUGGAAACUGGGGAACUUGAGUGCAGAAGAGGAAAGUGGAAUUCCAA
rnacentral:rRNA from 1 species